rnacentral:lncRNA from 1 species
CUUUCAGCCUCCUGGGAGCCUGGUCAUGACCCACAGAGACCACACCAGCUGUGGCCAGAGGGAUGGCCUGUGGCAAGGUAGCUGGUGCCUGCGCAAGCCUAUGAGAGCGUCGUGUCUGUGGAUACCCAGGUGCCUGCUUCCCCUUUGCCUUCUGCCUUGAUUGUAAGUUUCCUGAGGCCUCCCAGCCAUGCUUCCUGUUAAGCCUGUGAAACUGUGUGCUUGGCUGGGCAGCCUCUGAAGUCUAUGUGAGCCCUCACCCUGGGCCUUUUCUACUUGGGCCCGUGCCUCUAUUCUCUGCAACUGGGCUGAGCUCAGCUGUGCUGAGUAGUGGAAGAGAGUGGUGGGGAAUCACUCUAUGGAUGAACAAAGCUGCAGACAGCUUGGACCUGCAGGAAAGAUAGCAGAGGGUGAGUCUCCAUUCGGGGCCAGUCUUAGCUGGGUCAUCUGAGGGGCCUAGAGGGCUGCAAGAGGAGGACUGCUAAGUGGUUCAUUUGGCAGAGGGGUUCCCAAGAGUGGGCAGGAAUGCAGGUGGGGAGGAGUGGGGAGUCCAGGCAAGGGCC